UGCAAGUGUGAAAACUGCCCAGUGCACAGGC
rnacentral:piRNA from 1 species